CGGGACGGGUGAGUAACGCGUGGGUAACCUGCCUCAUACAGGGGGAUAACGAUUGGAAACGAUUGCUAAUACCGCAUAAGCGCACAGUACCACAUGGUACGGUGUGAAAAACUCUGGUGGUAUGAGAUGGACCCGCGUCUGAUUAGCUAGUUGGUGAGGUAACGGCCCACCAAGGCAACGAUCAGUAGCCGACCUGAGAGGGUGACCGGCCACAUUGGGACUGAGACACGGCCCAG
rnacentral:rRNA from 1 species